rnacentral:rRNA from 1 species
GACGAACGCUGGCGGCGUGCUUAACACAUGCAAGUCGAACGAUGAACCCGGAGCUUGCUCUGGGGGAUUAGUGGCGAACGGGUGAGUAACACGUGAGUAACCUGCCCUGGACUCUGGGAUAAGCGUUGGAAACGACGUCUAAUACCGGAUAGGACCUUGGAUCGCAUGAUCUGGGGUGGAAAGUUUUUUCGGUCUGGGAUGGACUCGUGGCCUAUCAGCUUGUUGGUGAGGUAAUGGCUCACCAAGGCGUCGACGGGUAGCCGGCCUGAGAGGGUGACCGGCCACACUGGGACUGAGACACGGCCCAGACUCCUACGGGAGGCAGCAGUGGGGAAUAUUGCACAAUGGGCGAAAGCCUGAUGCAGCAACGCCGCGUGCGGGAUGACGGCCUUCGGGUUGUAAACCGCUUUUAGUAGGGAAGAAGGGCUUCGGCUUGACGGUACCUGCAGAAAAAGGACCGGCUAACUACGUG